AGUGAACGCUGGCGGUAGGCCUAACACAUGCAAGUCGAACGGCAGCACAGUAAGAGCUUGCUCUUACGGGUGGCGAGUGGAGGACGGGUGAGGCAUACAUCCGACUCUACUUUUUCGUGGGGGAUAACGUAGGGAAACUUACGCUAAUACCGCAUACGACCUACGGUUGAAAGCAGGGGAUCUUCGAGCCUUGCCCGAUUGGAUGAGCCGAUGUGGGAUUAGCUAGUUGGCGGGGUAAAGGCCCACCAAGGCGACGAUCCGUAGCGGGUCUGAGAGGAUGAUAAGACACACUGGAACUGAGACACGGUCCAGACUCCUACGGGAGGCAGCAGUGGGGAAUAGUGGACAAUGGGCGCAAGCCUGAUCCAGCCAUACCGCGUGGGUUAAGAAGGCAUUCGGGUUGUAAAGCUCUUUUGUUGGGAAAGAAAAGCAGCAGGUUAAUACCCCGCUGUUCUGACGGUACCCAAAGAAUAAGCACCGGCUAACUUCGUG
rnacentral:rRNA from 1 species